CCAAGCCCUUAGCACGAAGAGACGAUCUCUGCUUCUACAGCCAGCGACUCUCUCCAAAGAUACGAUUGGCGACGGUUGGUGAUCGACGCCCCAACACCUCCCCCUUACGCUCUCUCGAUCUCUUCCCUCCUCCCUUUCCCGCUGUGCUUUCCCCACUUCCCUUCUAUCAUCUCCCUUUCCUAACAACUGACGCUACUCCUUUCACCGGCAGCACAACCCCUUUCUUCUUCUCCUUUUCCUGUCUUUCUCAGGCAGUCCCUCCCUCCCUCCCUUCCUCAGCCGCCACCGCUUCAUAGCUUUACUAUCUUGUACUUUGUAUGGAUUACGUUGCAUUUCAUCCUUUAUUUAUGUGCAUAUAGCGUUCGAGUGUUCUAUGUUUGCUAACAACUUUGUAUGGACUCUGUUUCCAAUAGCUUGGUGGUGGAUAGCUUGACCGUCAACAAGCAGAUUCGGGUCAAGAACAGUAGCUGUAAGUUUAAAGCAUUGAUUCCUUUAUGCUCCAUCUCUUCUUCUUGCUUGUUUCAUCUUAGAUCAGAUUGGUUGGACUUCAGAGUAGACAUGUGUAUGGGUGAUAGAAUGUUUAUGACAAGUUACAAUCUUGAUGCAAUUUAAACUUCUCUAACUGAUGGGAGAACUGAUAUUGUUGUUCUAGAAAAAACUUCUAUUAGAUUUAAUAAUAUGUUCAUUAGAUCUUAAUGUCACUUUGAAUGGCAUGUGAGAGUAUUGAUACUACUUGUUUCGAGUGUCUUAGAUGUUAAUUAUACUAGACCAUGCUUGAUGUUGACUGAUGUUGCAUUAGAUGUUAAUACAAUAUCAUUACACUUGUCUUUCUCUCUGAUAUUUACUUCUCCAUUGGUAAUUCGGUGUUCUUGUAAACUGAUUUUUAUGUUGUGUUGUGACUCUUAUGCCCCCUCACGCUGAAUUGUUUGAUGUCACUGCCAUUGCUCCAUAAAUUUUGUGCACUUUUAAUGCAUGAUACUAUUUUCUAUAUUAUUACCCUAGUAAGAAGUAUUAGUCCUUGUUCUCAACAUCAACAGAAAUUAAGUUGGACUGAAUUUUUGUUUUCUAGAUCUUUAGCAUCGAAAGAUAAGUAAUUAGUGCACUGUAUAUCUUCUUGUACACGUUAACACCUUGUAUAUGUUAUGAGGUCUCAUUCAUCUUCUUCUGCAAUUAACUGAUUAAUGCACUGUAUAUCUUUCUUUGUUCUAUUUUUUUGUAUCGUUUAAUGGUUCUUGUUGAACAUAGCCUGACAUUUUUCUCAAACCACCCGCCAUUUUAUAGUUUAAUGCACUGUAUAUCAAUUAAAUGUUAUUAUAAUUAACAUAGGAUUGCUUGAUCCUAAGGUCGAGUUGAAAAAGUAUAAAAAAAAUCCUAAUUGUCUUACUCUUGCCUUUGCCAUCAAUGGAAUACCUUGGAGAAGCAAUCAAUCCUGCUGUUACGAGAUCUCAUUCUCUUCAUUUUGGAGAAAGCAAUGAGCCAUCUUGCUGUUGAUGAGAUUCCUGUAAUGGCUUUGUUUCACAAGUUCUGAACAGUGGAUUACAGAUAAGAGUGUUCCUGGGUGAUGGAGAUGGCCGCUGUCAUGGCCAUCGCCUUGGCCAACGGUGGUGGGAAGCCCCCCGACUGGCAAGACUUCGUCGGGAUCGUCGUGUUGCUCGUGAUCAACUCCACCAUCAGUUUUAUCGAAGAGAACAACGCCAGGCAAUGCUGCGGCCUGUCACGGACAAACUUUGAAACAGGGUGUUUAAUGUAAUGCUUAUGUAUGUCCGUGUCUUUUGGCAUGUUCAUGCCUUGUACAACAUGUAGAGGGGCGGCCGAAGGCAUAAUAGUCCCAUUUUAGUUGGGUUGGUGGCCUCUUUAGGCUUGUAAAUAAAGGUUGUGUCAUGUGGACACGUGCGAGAGCUUUUCGGUCUGUAAUGGACCAUUUUACCCUUUGUUGUGUCACUGUUCAGAGCUUGUAAAGUCUGUUUGUAAUUUGCAUUGUCUAUGAAGUGUUUUUCGGAGA